AUACGUGGGGGGCAAGCGUUAUCCGGAAUUAUUGGGCGUAAAGAGUGCGUAGGUGGUUUUGUAAGCGCGGGGUGAAAGGCAAUGGCUCAACCAUUGUAAGCCUUGCGAACUGCAAGACUUGAGUGCAGGAGAGGAAAGUGGAAUUCCUAGUGUAGCGGUGAAAUGCGUAGAUAUUAGGAGGAACACCAGUGGCGAAGGCGACUUUCUGGACUGUAACUGACACUGAGGCACGAAAGCGUGGGGAGCAAACAGGAUUAGAUACCCUGGUAGUCCACGCCGUAAACGAUGAGCACUAGGUGUCGGGGCCGCAAGGUUUCGGUGCCGCAGUUAACGCAUUAAGUGCUCCGCCUGGGGAGUACGCACGCAAGUGUGAAACUCAAAUGAAUUGACGGGG
rnacentral:rRNA from 1 species